AUCGAGGAUGCAUGUCCUUGAUAUGAAAGAUCCGUCGGUCCGGGAUGGGCAUGCGGCGCAUUAGCUAGUUGGCGGGGCAACGGCCCACCAAGGCGACGAUGCGUAGGGGUUCUGAGAGGAAGGUCCCCCACACUGGUACUGAGACACGGACCAGACUCCUACGGGAGGCAGCAGUGAGGAAUAUUGGUCAAUGGACGGUAGUCUGAACCAGCCAAGUCGCGUGCGGGAAGAAGGCCCUCCGGGUCGUAAACCGCUUUAGCCGGGGAGUAACGUGGGGGACGCGUCCCUCAGUGAGAGUACCCGGAGAAUAAGCAUCGGCUAACUCCGUGCCAGCAGCCGCGGUAAUACGGAGGAUGCGAGCGUUAUCCGGAUUUAUUGGGUUUAAAGGGUGCGCAGGCGGCGAGUCAAGUCAGCGGUCAAACUGCGGCGCUCAACGCCGUACCGCCGUUGAAACUGGCGCGCUCGAGUUUGUGCGAGGAUGGCGGAAUGCGCAGUGUAGCGGUGAAAUGCAUAGAUAUUGCGCAGAACUCCGAUUGCGAAGGCAGCUGUCCAGCACACUACUGACGCUCAUGCACGAAAG
rnacentral:rRNA from 1 species